GAUGAAGAACGCAGCGAAAUGCGAUACGUAAUGUGAAUUGCAGAAUUCAGUGAAUCAUCGAGUCUUUGAACGCACAUUGCGCCCCCUGGUAUUCCGGGGGGCAUGCCUGUCCGAGCGUCAUUGCUGCCCUCAAGCACGGCUUGUGUGUUGGGCCUCCGUCCUCCUCCCGGGGGACGGGCCCGAAAGGCAGCGGCGGCACCGCGUCCGGUCCUCGAGCGUAUGGGGCUUCGUCACCCGCUCUUGUAGGCCCGGCCGGCGCUUGCCGACACAUCAAUCUUUUUUCCAGGUUGACCUGGGAUCAGGUAGGGAUACCCGCUGAACUUAAGCAUAUCAAUAAGCGGAGGA
rnacentral:misc_RNA from 1 species